rnacentral:rRNA from 1 species
AUUAAAACUCAAAGGAAUUGACGGNGACCCGCACAAGCGGUGGAUGAUGUGGAUUAAUUCNAUGCAACGCGAAAAACCUUACCUACCCUUGACAUGUACGGAAUCCUGCUGAGAGGUGGGAGUGCUCGAAAGAGAACCGUAACACAGGUGCUGCAUGGCUGUCGUCAGCUCGUGUCGUGAGAUGUUGGGUUAAGUCCCGCAACGAGCGCAACCCUUGUCCUUAGUUGCUACGCAAGAGCACUCUAGGGAGACUGCCGGUGACAAACCGGAGGAAGGUGGGGAUGACGUCNAGUCCUCAUGGCCCUUAUGGGUAGGGCUUCACACGUCAUACAAUGGUCGGUACAGAGGGCUGCCAAACCGCGAGGUGGAGCUAACCCCAGAAAACCGAUCGUANUCCGGAUCGCAGUCUGCAACUCGACUGCGUGAAGCUGGAAUCGCUAGUAAUCGCGGAUCANCAUGUCGCGGUGAAUAC